UACGUAGGGUGCGAGCGUUAAUCGGAAUUACUGGGCGUAAAGCGUGCGCAGGCGGUUGUGCAAGACAGAUGUGAAAUCCCCGGGCUCAACCUGGGAACUGCAUUUGUGACUGCACAGCUAGAGUACGGCAGAGGGGGAUGGAAUUCCGCGUGUAGCAGUGAAAUGCGUAGAUAUGCGGAGGAACACCGAUGGCGAAGGCAAUCCCCUGGGCCUGUACUGACGCUCAAGCACGAAAGCGUGGGGAGCAAACAGG
rnacentral:rRNA from 1 species